UUAAAAAAGAAAAGAAAAACAGACUUCCUCUUCUAGCUCGUGAAUCCUUUCCUCCCAAUCUCACUCCCUCUGCAUCGCUCUCCACUCUCCGCCUCGAACUCGCUCUCAAUUUCCUCUUCUCACCAAAAACCCCUCAAUCCUCUUGCUCUCAAAUGAAUGCUCCAGAAAGACUUAAAAAAAACACUCACCUCCGGUAGCGGUAAUGACGGUGAUGAUGGAGUUUGGAAGGGUGUCGUGGCUGACGGUGAAGGAUCCGCGGAGGAAGAUUUCGGGCCUUUUCGGGUUUCAGUUGGUGUGUAAAGGCUCAAAGGAGAAAGCUCAGAAGCGCUUUUUCGGAUGCUCAGAAGUGCUUUUAGCCCGUUUGAUGAUACAAAUUGGGAAAGUGAAAAUUUUGAACAUCUGUUUGAUGAAGCAGGUUGAGGUUCAAGGUGUACUGGUUGCAGAUAGCUUGACUUGGUCGAAAAUGCAGGCGGUUGAUGCUUCAGCGAUGAACACCGGUGGCUACGGUUUAGAUUCGUGCUCCUGAGGCCAAGUCACCAGCCAACCACUUCCGUGGCAUCGCUAGUUGCCUGGAGAGUUUCUUUUGCCUUCACCCACUCGUCAUUUUUCAAUUCCAGCUCAAACAGCAUAGAUAAUGCAUUUGGACUCUUGUCAUUCACUUUCAGGGCAUCAUUAACCGGCAAGGUGUCCAUGGCUCCACGGUAAUAAGCUGUAGUAAUAGUUCUGAAUCUCUCUAGGCCGGCUGUAUCCCAGUGUACGAGUAUAUAUUUCUUUGUGUCUGGCCUCUGGGAGCAAAAGUUCAGAACCUCGUUGCAAAGCUUUUGUACAGAUUCAUCAUCAGGCAGUUUGUUAUUUGUUGCAGAAAACAAGUCAUAACCGUUUGGAACCGUUGGUUUUGUGGAAAGGUAUUGGUCAAAGAGUUUGGAUUGUGAUUGUCGGGUUAAAAUGCUACUGCAGUAGGUGCAACAGUGGCAGGCGGUGUUGCUGCAAGUAAAACAUUGCUAAUGAUGCUCCUUAAAUUGCAAAUAAACUUGGUGAAGACCUUUGUAAAGUAAUAUCGCGAGAAGAAGUCUUCAAGUUAACAACGGUACAUAAACUGUGGGGCCUCUAAGAUCUUCACCAACCUAGAGCCUAGAAUCUGGGGCUGAGAGGCUAUCCUUACCAACCUCUUGUCUUUGCGAUUUGGCCUACUGUCUGAAACACUUCGAAUGAGAGGUGACUAAUCAAAAAUUCUGCAGGAUUCUUAUGUAGCUUCAACCAUUAGUUUCAAGGAAACAUGCUUCAGGUUUGAACUGCAAAUACCACAGGUUACAGUUCCUUUGUCAACAUAGCUGUGAUGACUACAUGCUACAGCAUCUUAAGCUCUGGCAUCUCAGGAACUGAAGACCGAGUGGUUGCAAGGAAACAAAAACAGGUGGCUUGAACCAGCCUGGGCAGAGAGGAUUUGUAUAACAUGGAUACAAAGGAGUCUUCCGCCGAUGUGAACAGCAAAAUCCUUCAAACUCACGAGUUCAAGUAACUAGUAGAAACUACCUUCAGCAGCAACAACAAUACUUUCAUAUGCAACUGAUGUGUAAAUCCGUGGCUAUGAGCAUGAACUGCUCCUCCCUUAUUAUUUGUUAACUUUGUCACUUUGUAAACAAAAUUGAUUGGUCAGCAUAAUUGGUCAUUCUUGAUUCUAGUAAACUAUAACAAGUUGAUCAAUUUUCCUUCUUUUUUUUUUUGUGAAGGUUCUAUUAGGAACUGGAAAGCGAUGUUGAAAACCUUCUGUUAUGAUAUUGAUUUGUUAUCAUGUGUUGUAGAACUCUUUUUUGGAGUGAAUUAUUGGGAUGCUGGAAUUUAGAUUCUUGAUGGAAUUUUGAUUAUUCAUUAAGAUUGUAUUUGUAGGAUUUAUGUAAUAGGAUGAACUUGCAUGAAAAUGUUGAGAAAUGCAAUUUGGAACAUGAUUUUUUUAUUAUU